UCCCGCACAACCUCACGCCCCCGCGCCGUUCCUCCUGCAGAUCGAGAAGGAUGGAUAUAUCAUGAGCAAACAUCACCGCUUCCCUUCCUCCAUGCGCCGCCGCUCCAUCCUUCCCCUCCUCCUCGCGCCGCCCCUCUUUCUACCGUCACCACCCCCCAUCGGCGCCCUCCGCAGCCUAGCUGAGCCCCUUCGCCCGUGGACGUGUUCCGGCGUCAUCCCGCUACAGGUUGUCGUACCUCUGGAGGUGCGGAGUGGUGGUGGAGGCGAGAGGAGAGGCGCAGGAUCUUGGCCUUGAUGUCACCGAUUUUGACGUGGGCGGUGUCUUGCUCGCGUCCGGGUGUGGGUGGUUCGUGCCAUCACCGUACCACCAACAAGGAUGACACCAGACACCUGAUGGCCUCUCCCUGAGAACCGUCUUUGCUUCGCCGAUGUAUCCCACCUGCGCCCAAUGUUGAGGUCUUGAGGGUGUGAUUCCUAGUGAGAAGGACCGCCGUCAGGCCACAAUGGACUUCACACCUCCCAUUUUCUACUGUUCUCGCAUGCACGUACUGUUACCUAGAGCAGAAAGCAUAUAGAGAUUAUAUUAGUAUAGAUGUAUAGAAGUCAUGAUGAUGGACUAAGAUAAUUCUGUUGCACAAUACUAUGCACUGAGAUUCAGUCAUGGCAUUUCUUGUCAGUAUCGCAUGAACAUGAUAGAGACUGAUCAAAUAAAUGGCACUUGAUUUCAUCUACUUAUAUUCUUCAGGGAAUGUAAGCAAGCGGUGCAUGGAAGCUGAUACUUGCAAUCUGUUUGCGGAAUCUGGCAGUGUUUCAGUCCAAGAAUGAGAAUCAUGUGAUUGCUGAUCGACUAUGCAGCUUGUUUAGGCAUCAGCGUCUCUACUGCUAUCUGGGAUUGGAGGAAAGGCAGCUCGAAAAACUAAAGCACUAAUGAAGCAACAAGUGGAAGUCCAAUUCAGAAAGAAGUAGUUUGUUCUAUAUACUAGAUUGGACAAUGUUUUUCCGCUGGAAGUCUAUUGCUGAAUCUUAAAUCAAGAGGAAGCUAUCUAACUUUCUUCUUAAGGAGCCGGGAAGUUUCGCCAAGCCACUACAGUGGGCAAGAGAUCAGCUAAUUCAUUUGAGCCGGGGAGGCGACGGCGGCGGGGAGCAGCGGCACAUCGGCGGACAGCAACACAUGUGUAGCACACAGCGGCAGCGGCUGCACGGCCACGACGGACAAGCAACAACGCGAAGCAGGGGCAGGUGGUGGUAAGAAUAAGUAUCACUUGUCAUGUUUAACUCAUGGCCAACAAAGAGUAAGUAUCACUUGAAACUCACUACAUGAAGAAUACUGCUGUGACGAUUAUAUACAUAUAUGUUCCACUUGGUUGCUCAGGUAGUAUUAAUUUCUAAUUUCUUAUCACUUCCUUUUUCUUGCAGUCAAGUUUUGAAACUGGGCUUUGAUGAGAAGUUCAUUCGUAUAUGGGAAUUCUAUCUUGUAUACUCUGCCUCUGGUUUGAAGUCAUGAGUAGCUAGAGAUUACCUGGCGGGGCCUGCUAUGACUCCCAAUGGGUGGUAUUACUGCAACUGUCGAUCCUUCAAAUUUUGACGAUAACAAGUAGCCUGAAUCCAAGAAGAAAACUAAUUCAAUUCUCCCAAGACUGCUAAUUUUUGGGUUUCUUUGUUCCAACUUUGCAUUGACACCACUUGGACAAUGUUUGUGUUCCUUUGCUUUUCAUCAUGAAAACAAACAUUCUGAAAUCUUCAUAGGAUAUUUGAUUUCAUUUUUACUAUACAAUAGAGUAAAUAGGCUACGUCCUUACAUUCUCCGCGGAGAAGUUAUCCAGCCAGUCGGUUGCCAUUGAUUUGUGACAUUUUUUUAUACAGUUGUGAUUCCCGUGGUCUGCUUGUUAUCGUCAAAAGAUAAUUGAUGGGUUUUUACUUCUCCUUUUGUUUAUAGAGAAUGGGUCAUCCUAGAGUAUGAAUUUGACAUGGUUUGAUUGAGACGUGCGUUGCACGUGCACGUUUACUAGUAAGAAUAUAAAGAAGAGAGAAAAAAGUCUAGGGCGUCGCUGCUGUUGGCCUUCGACAUGCUGGGCUGCUGCUGCGCUGUGUCACGUGCAUGAGCGGCCGAAAGGAACUGGGCCACCGGGGUAGCUGGGUAGAAUUAGAGUAGAAUAGGUUUAUGAUUUUCUAUUUAUUUAUUUUAGGUACAGAAAGGAUGUUAGCUCCAAAGAUGAUCAAAAUCAUUUUAUAAAAAUACCAGGACAUCCAAAAACACAAAUAUAGUCACAUACAACAUAGUGAACAUUUUUCUAGUCCAAAAUAUUUAUAAAAAAUACAUAUAAUAUUUUCGUAAACUUUACUUUGACACUUAUAAAAUGUUCCACGAAAUAUUUUUGAACUUCAAAGAAAUAUUCAAAUAACAUAUUCAAGAAUUUCCAACUCUCUUUAACAUUGAAGGAGCCAUAUUUCCUUCUCUCAUAAGAAUUUAUUUUCGAGUUAGAAUUGUUUUAAAUAUUCAAAAUCCAGAUGGGAGAAUAUUCAAUUGUUCAUCAAUAUUACUCCUUGAGGAAGUCAUGUCAUCCUCUCUCAUAUUUAAAUUGGAAAUAGUCUGAAUAUUCUCCAACCCAAAAUAAGAUGAAAUUGAAUAAUUGGGAAAGUCAUUUUAUUCCCUCUCUUUUAAGAAAAGCUGAAAUUCCAAAAGCUCCAGAUCCUAGUCAAAAUUAACUAACAAUAAGCAC